AAAACAUGUAUUAAGUAACUGCUCUGUGACCGGACUUGUACCAGACACUGGGGAAAACACAAAGAGGAAUUAGACAGAGGUCUCAAGGAAGAGCCAUCUCCUGGAAGAGACAGGUUCUUCCUGAAAAGUGUUCCUUCAAUAAAUCAUCUUUGGGCUUCCCUGGUGGCGCAGUGGGUGAGAGUCUGCCUGCCGAUGCAGGGGACACGGGUUCGUGCCCUGGUCCAGGAAGAUCCCACAUGCCGCGGAGCGGCUGGGCCCAUGAGCCAUGGCCGAUGGGCCUGCGCGUCCGGAGCCUGUGCUCCACAACGGGAGAGACCACAACGCUCCCCAGGGCACACUUGUUUGGAGCUAGAGGUGUGGGUGAUGGCAACACCAGGGUGUGCUUGGAUUAACUCUUCGGAUGUACUGCCCAGGUGUGUCAAGAAGUGAUUCCUCCCAGCCCCAAACACUUUUUUACAAAGAUAUUUAGGCCAGCUUAUUUCUUCCCCAUCCCCUCCAGUUGGGUUGUGUCAUUAAUUUGUAAUAAAUUUAGAUUCAUUUGUUAUAGUCUGCAUUUAAUCUUUCUCCCUGCUGUCCUGGUUGAGUGUUUACAUUUUGCGAAUGGUAAAAUUCACUCUUUGUUGGUCUAGUCCUAUGAGUUUUAAAAAGUGCAGAGAGUUGUGUGUCCACCACCACAGUAACAUCAUCCUAGCAGUUACAUCACCCUAGUAAUUCAUUAUUUUUUAGUAGUAUUCCAUUGAAAAAAUAAAUCAUAAUUUAUUUAUUCAUUUACUUGUUGCUAGAUAUUAGGAUUCUUUCCAGGCUUGGCUCUUAUAGAUAUGGCUGCAGUGAAAUUCUUAUGCAAGCCUUUUUGUGGACACAGGUUUUUAUUUAUCUUGGUUAGAUACCUAGAAGUGGAGUUGCCAUAUCAUAAGGAAAGAGUAUGUUUAUUUUUUUAAAAAACCUACUAGGGCUUCCCUGGUGGCGCAGUGGUUGAGAGUCCGCCUGCCGAUGCAGGGGACACGGGUUCGUGCCCCGGUCUGGGAAGAUCCCUACAUGCCGCGGAGCGGCUGGGCCUGUGAGCCAUGGCCGCUGAGCCUGCGUGUCCGGAGCCUGUACUCCGCAACGGGAAAGGCCGCAACAGUGAGAGGCCCGCGUACCGCAAAAAAAAAAAAAAAAAAAAAAAACCUACUAAAAUCUUUUCCAAAGUGGUUGUACAGUUUUAUGCUAACUAGGGAUGAUGAAUGAGCAUUCCAGUUCCUCCACAUUAUCAUCAUUUUGUGCUAUAAGUUUUUAAUUUUAGCCAUUCUAAAAUUAAAAGACUACCUCAUGUGGUUUUAAGUUGCAUUUCCUGCUGGCUAGUGAUGUUGAACAUGCUUUCAUGGCUAUUAGCCCAUACCCUUAACCACACCUGCAGAGUCACUUGUCAUAUUCAUAUACUGUUGUGGAGUUAGGGCACGGAUGUGUUUGAGAGCCCAUUAUUCUGCUUAUCAUAUAUGGUGUGGAUGUACCAGAGCGUGUUAACCAUGCACUUGUUAAAGGACAUCUUGUUUGUUUCCAGUUUCUCUUAUGUAUAAAGCAUCUGUAAACAUUUGUGUGCAGGUUUCUAGACGAGCAUGUUUUCAUUACUCUGGGAUAAAUGAAUAGGAGUGCAAUUACUGAGUUGUAUGGUUGUUACCUAUUUAGUUGUUAAGAAAAAUUUCCACCUGAUUUUACAGAGUUACCGUACCAUAUCACAUUUCUACCAGCAACGUACAAGUAAUCAUUUCUCCACAUCUUUUCGGCAUUUGGUGUUGUCACUACUUUUUAUGAGUGAUUCUGAUAGGUGUGUAGCAAUAGCCCAUUAUGGUUUUAAUUUAAAUUUCCCUUAGGGUUAAUGUUGUUGACUAUCUUUUCAUGUGCUUAAUUUUCCAACUGUGUGCUCUCUUUGGUGAAAAAUCUCUUCAUAUCUCUUGCCUAAUUUCUGAUUGAAUUGUUGGCUUUUUAAUGUUGAGUUUUUAGAGUUCUUUAUAUAUUCCAGAUAAUAGUUCUUUGUCAGAUUUGUGGUUUGUUAAUGUUUUACCCACUCUACAGCUUGUCUUUUUAUCCUCUUGUCAGGAUCUUUUGCAGAGCAAAUUGUCUGUAAUUUUGAAAAGUUUCAAUUUAUUGGUUUUUCCUUUUGUGGGUCAUACUUUUAGUGUCACGUUUAAGAACUCUUUGUCUAGCCUUAGAUCUUGAACAUGUUCUCCUGUAUUUUUUGAAAAAUUUUGUAGUUUUAUAUUUACAUCUUAGUUUGUGGUCUGUUUUGAGUUAAUUUUUUUGUAAGGUGUGAGAUUUGGGUUGGGGUUUAUUUUUUGUCCACUGAUGCCCACUUGGUUCAGUGCCAUUGUUAAAAAGGCUAUCUUUCCCCCAUUAAAUUGCUUUUGUACCUUUGUGAAAAAUCACUUUUAUAUGUCUAUUCCUCUGCCAGUACUACACAGUCUUGAUAAUGUUCUGGUUUUUCAAAAACUGUUUUAGCUACUCUCUUUCCUUUGCCUCCCUAUAUAAUUUUAGAGUACUGUUGACUAUAUCUACAAAAAAAUCUUGCUAGGAUUUUGAUAGCAAAUACAUUAAGCCUUUGUAUCAGUUUGGGGAGAACUGACACCUUCACUAUGCUGAGUCUUUCAAUCCAUGAACAUGAUAUGUCCCUUCAUUUAUUUUAUAACAUAGAUUCUAUACGUGUUUUGUUAGAUUCACACCUUAGUAUUUAUUUUUUUCUCCUAGAGAUUGUAAAUAGCAUUGCAUUUUUAGUUUUGGUUUCCACGUAUUCAUUGCUAGCACAUAGAAAUGAAAUUGAUUUUUGUAUGUUUAUGUUAUAUCCUAGAACUUUACUGAACUCAUUAAUUCUAGGAGAUUUUUGGAGAGUCCUUGAAAUUGGUGUUAAUUUUUCUCUGAAUGUUUUAUAGAAUUUCCCAGUGAAGUCAUCUGGGCCUGAGCUUUUCUUUGAAUGUAGAUUUUUUUCCUUUAAUUAAUAAUUUAAUAUCUUUAUUUGUUGUAAGUCUGUUAAUGGUUUCUAUUUAUUCUUGAGUCAGUUUCAGUCAUUUGUAUUCCCUUAUAUCUAUUCUGUAUUUCAUUAUUUAUACUCUACUCUUCAUUGGUUUUUUUUCUGCUUGAUUUGAAUUUUGUUUGCAGUUCUUUCUCCAGUGUCUUAAGGUAAAAUUUAGGGUUUUGAUAUGAGUUGUUGUUGUUUUCUUUUAAUGUAGGCAUUUACAGCUGGACAUUUUCCUCUAGGCAUUGUUUUAGUGCAUCCCACAAUUUUUGCUAUGUUGUGUCUUCAUUUUCGUUCAUCUUGAAGUAUUUUUCUGAUUUCCCUUGUGGUUUCUUUUUUGACCCACUGGAUAUUUAAAAAUGUGUUGUUUAGGGCUUGCCUGGUGGUGCAGUGGUUAAGAAUCUGCCUGCCAAUGCAGGGGACACGGGUUUGAGCCCUGGUCCGGGAAGAUCCCACGUGUUGCAGACUAACUAAGCCUGUGAGCCACAAUUAUUGAAGACCACACGCCUAGAGCCUGUGCUCUGCAACAAGAGAAGCCACCAAAAUGAGAAGGCUGCGCAUUGCAACGAAGACCCAUCACAGCCAAAACUAAAUAAAAUAAAAUAUUUUAAAAAG